rnacentral:rRNA from 1 species
AUACGAAGGGAGCUAGCGUUGUUCGGAAUUACUGGGCGUAAAGCGCACGUAGGCGGAUUUGUUAGUCAGGGGUGAAAUCCCGGGGCCCAACCUCGGAACUGCCUUUGAUACUGCAAGUCUGGAGUCCGGAAGAGGUGGGUGGAAUUCCUAGUGUAGAGGUGAAAUUCGUAGAUAUUAGGAAGAACACCGGUGGCGAAGGCGGCCCACUGGUCCGGUACUGACGCUGAGGUGCGAAAGCGUGGGGAGCAAACAGGAUUAGAUACCCCGGUAGUCC